UAGGGAAUCUUCGGCAAUGGGGGCAACCCUGACCGAGCAACGCCGCGUGAGUGAAGAAGGUUUUCGGAUCGUAAAGCUCUGUUGUAAGAGAAGAACGUGUGUGAGAGUGGAAAGUUCACACAGUGACGGUAACUUACCAGAAAGGGACGGCUAACUACGUGCCAGCAGCCGUGGUAAUACGCAGGUCCCGAGCGUUGUCCGGAUUUAUUGGGCGUAAAGCGAGCGCAGGCGGUUUAAUAAGUCUGAAGUUAAAGGCAGUGGCUUAACCAUUGUUCGCUUUGGAAACUGUUAAACUUGAGUGCAGAAGGGGAGAGUGGAAUUCCAUGUGUAGCGGUGAAAUGCGUAGAUAUAUGGAGGAACACCGGUGGCGAAAGCGGCUCUCUGGUCUGUAACUGACGCUGAGGCUCGAAAGCGUGGGGAGCAAACAGG
rnacentral:rRNA from 1 species